GCGGGUGUCGUAUAGUGGCUAUUACUUUACCUUGCCAAGGUAGAGACGGCGGUUCGAUUCCGCUCACCCGCUCCA
rnacentral:tRNA from 1 species